AGGGGAGAUUCAGUAUCCAGUCCGCACCGCCGCUCCGCGUCGUCGGUCUUACGGGGUCGCCUCGGCGGCCGCCGGGUCCGCGGCGCGGUCUCGCGCGCGGGCGGUGGAGCGCACUUCUCCCCGAGUAGGACGCCGCGACCCGCUGGGUGUCGGCCUACGGCCCGGGUGCGAGCCCGUCGCAAGCGACUCGUCGCGCGCGGCGGAGCCCCGGAGUCCCGGCCGACUGCCCGGCGGUCACGAUUCGGAACCGGCCCUCGAGACCCUCGGUCUCGAGCCAGUGCCUCGCGCGAGCGUGGCGCGGGACCCCGUGGACGGACUCGUCCGUCGCGGGCCCGCGCGCGCUGUCGGCGCGGGGACUUCUCUGGCGGGGCCUACUCCGGUCCGCGGCGCUCAAAUCUGGGCGGCCCCCCCGGCCCGUCUUGAAGCACGGACCAAGGAGUCUAACACGCGCGCGAGUCGUCGGGUGCCACUACGCCCGAAGGCGCAUUGAACGAAAAGGCCGGCCUCCGCGCCGGCCGAGGGAAGAUGGAGCCUCCCCCGGGGGGCUCCCGCAUUCCCGGGGCGUCUCGUCCUACCGCCGCUCGUCGGCGGAAGGUGAGGCGCACCAAGAGCGCGCGCGUUGGGACCCGAAAGAUGGUGAACUAUGCCUGGCCAGGACGAAGUCAGGGGAAACCCUGAUGGAGGUCCGUAGCGAUUCUGACGUGCAAAUCGAUCGUCGGAGCUGGGUAUAGGGGCGAAAGACUAAUCGAACCAUCUAGUAGCUGGUUCCUUCCGAAGUUUCCCUCAGGAUAGCUGGCGCUCGGAGUCUUUGAGUCCCAUCCGGUAAAGCGAAUGAUUAGAGGCCUUGGGGUCGAAACGACCUCUACCUAUUCUCAAACUUUAAAUGGGUGGGAACCGCGGCUUGCUGAACGUGAAGCCGCGGACCA
rnacentral:rRNA from 1 species